UCUCUCUCUCUGAUAUGUACAUUCAUUCCAUGCAUUCAAUUUCCCUGAGAACAUCACCACUGAAAGUUUCUUGGAGUUCACUUGAUGCAUAGUUUUAUCUUCUUUUUUUUUUUCUAGUAAUCUAAUAAAAAACAUUUUUAUUUUGCGGUCAGAUGUUUUUGAUAGUUUGACACAGCAUUUUCCACUAUGCAACGUCCUCACUAGCUC
rnacentral:lncRNA from 1 species